AGCUUUGCACAGUGGCAGUAUCGUAGCCAAUGAGGUUUAUCCGAGGCGCAAUUAUUGCUAAUUGAAAACUUUUCAUAAUACACCUUUCCAUGAACAUUGUGUAGUAUGGCUCAUGGAAGUCAAGUUUUUUGGUUCGUUUCUAUGU